UCCUCGGUAGUAUAUCGGCUAGUACACCCGCCUGUCACGCAGACGUACGCGGGAGAGCGGGGUUCGACUCCCCGCCGAGGAG
rnacentral:tRNA from 1 species